GACGAACGCUGGCGGCGUGCUUAACACAUGCAAGUCGAACGGAAAGGCCCUGCUUUUGUGGGGUGCUCGAGUGGCGAACGGGUGAGUAACACGUGAGUAACCUGCCCUUGACUUUGGGAUAACUUCAGGAAACUGGGGCUAAUACCGGAUAGGAGCUCCUGCUGCAUGGUGGGGGUUGGAAAGUUUCGGCGGUUGGGGAUGGACUCGCGGCUUAUCAGCUUGUUGGUGGGGUAGUGGCUUACCAAGGCUUUGACGGGUAGCCGGCCUGAGAGGGUGACCGGCCAAAUUGGGACUGAGAUACCGCCCAGACUCCUACGGGAGGCAGGAGUGGGGAAUAAUGCACCAUGGGCGGAAGCCUGAUGCAGCAACGCCGCGUGCGGGAUGACGGCCUUCGGGUUGGAAACCGCUUUCGCCUGUGACGAAGCGUGAGGGACGGUAAUGGGUAAAGAAGCACCGGCUAACUACGUG
rnacentral:rRNA from 1 species